AUAUUAAGUAAAAUUCAAAGAAAAGUUGCUACGUUUCACUUAAUACUAUAUCCCAUGUACAAAUUCCAAAACCUUGACACCAACAGUUAUAUGUUAACAUACACGAAGAACGAUUAAGUAGAAUGUAAGUGAACGAACAUAACAUGUAACAAAACAAAUAACAUUCCCCUAAUUACAGUAUCCCCAGAAGAAGACUCGAUUCUGAGUCGAAACGUCGG